UGGGGAAUUUUGGACAAUGGGCGAAAGCCUGAUCCAGCAAUGCCGCGUGAGUGAAGAAGGCCUUCGGGUUGUAAAGCUCUUUUGUCAGGGAAGAAACGGUGAGAGCUAAUAUCUCUUGCUAAUGACGGUACCUGAAGAAUAAGCACCGGCUAACUACGUGCCAGCAGCCGCGGUAAGACGAAGGGGGCUAGCGUUGUUCGGAAUUACUGGGCGUAAAGCGUGCGCAGGCGGUUUGGUAAGACAGAUGUGAAAUCCCCGGGCUUAACCUGGGAACUGCAUUUGUGACUGCCAGACUAGAGUGUAGCAGAGGGGGGUAGAAUUCCACGUGUAGCAGUGAAAUGCGUAGAUAUGUGGAGGAAUACCGAUGGCGAAGGCAGCCCCCUGGGCUAACACUGACGCUCAUGCACGAAAGCGUGGGGAGCAAACAGGAUUAGAUACCCAUGUAGUCCCUGAGCGGGCUGGCAAGGCGCAU
rnacentral:rRNA from 1 species